rnacentral:rRNA from 1 species
GCUUACGGCCAUACCAGCCUGGGUACGCCUGAUCCCGUCUGAUCUCGGAAGCUAAGCAGGGUCGGGCCUGGUUAGUACUUGGAUGGGAGACCGCCUGGGAAUACCAGGUGCUGUAAGCA